GACAGGGGGUGCAAACGUUGUUCGGAAUUACUGGGCGUAAAGCGCGUGUAGGCUGCCCUGCAAGUCGGAUGUGAAAGCCCUGGGCUCAACCUAGGAAGUGCAUUCGAAACUGCAGGGCUGGAGUCCUGGAGAGGAAGGCGGAAUUCUCGGUGUAGAGGUGAAAUUCGUAGAUAUCGAGAGGAACACCGGUGGCGAAGGCGGCCUUCUGGACAGUGACUGACGCUGAGACGCGAAAGCGUGGGGAGCAAACAGG
rnacentral:rRNA from 1 species